rnacentral:lncRNA from 1 species
AAAAGAUAAUAAAUUGAGUUUUUAUAGAGUCAUUUCGCCUUCGUGUUUUGUUUUGCUCCAGGACCUGUCCGCUGUAGCUUUUUUGUGAACAUGCUCAACUAACAGACCUGAAGAAAUGACAACGAUUUCCAUAAUUUACAAAAAUAUUUGAAAGAAUGACGGAUUCAAAUGAGAAUUCCUUGCGGAACAUGGCAACUACUUUGCUGAAUAUGCGGGGAUCAGCAAGUGACCCAACUGGUAUAAAUCUAUCUUAAAACCUACAGUUGAUAGUGACAUCAGCAGAACCUCAAGAUACAGGAAAGUUCAAUCAAAUGACGUGAAUAUUAUUAAAAACAGAAAAUAAUUUAUUUAUGUAACUUAGAUCACCAAAAUAUAAUACAAAAAGACAUUUUGGUUUGUUGUGAUAAAUUAUUUGUUUCU